ensembl:snoRNA
ACCCUUUAAUGAUUCAUAAAUAUGAUGCUUGGGUGUUUGUGUCAUCACAUGAAAUGUACCUCCCUCUAUACCUUGUUACAUCAUCAGCACAUUACCUGCUUGAGG